GAGACAGUUCGGUCCCUAUCCGUCGCAGGCGUAGGAAAUUUGAGAAGACCUGUCCUUAGUACGAGAGGACCGGGAUGGACGUACCUCUGGUGUACCAGUUGUUCUGCCAAGGGCAUGGCUGGGUAGCGAUGUACGGAAUGGAUAAGCGCUGAAAGCAUCUAAGCGCGAAGCCAACUUCAAGAUAAGAUUUCCCACCGCAAGGGUAAGACCCCAGAAAGACUAUCUGGUUG
rnacentral:rRNA from 1 species